GGUCGGGUUUUAAUGUUCAUAGUGUUAACACAUUCAUCUUUUUCAUAGUUGGUGCUGAAGCAGAUGAUGACAGGCUUCAGUUUCUUCUCAAGGAAGUUCAGGGAAGCUGCUCUUGAUUUGGUAGCUGUGAUGUCAGUGGAGAAUUAUGUUUAAUUUUUGAUUUCUCUGUAUAUGUUGCAUAAGGACAAAUUUUAGGAUUAAGGACUGAUGUCGAAUUCAAUUUGGGGCAAAUCUCAGACAUAUGAGCCAAGCCUUGGGCAUAGA